rnacentral:rRNA from 1 species
AUUCGCCCUUGAGUUUGAUCAUGGCUCAGAUUGAACGCUGGCGGCAGGCCUAACACAUGCAAGUCGAGCGGAUGAAGGGAGCUUGCUCCUGGAUUCAGCGGCGGACGGGUGAGUAAUGCCUAGGAAUCUGCCUGGUAGUGGGGGAUAACGUCCGGAAACGGGCGCUAAUACCGCAUACGUCCUGAGGGAGAAAGUGGGGGAUCUUCGGACCUCACGCUAUCAGAUGAGCCUAGGUCGGAUUAGCUAGUUGGUGGGGUAAAGGCCUACCAAGGCGACGAUCCGUAACUGGUCUGAGAGGAUGAUCAGUCACACUGGAACUGAGACACGGUCCAGACUCCUACGGGAGGCAGCAGUGGGGAAUAUUGGACAAUGGGCGAAAGCCUGAUCCAGCCAUGCCGCGUGUGUGAAGAAGGUCUUCGGAUUGUAAAGCACUUUAAGUUGGGAGGAAGGGCAGUAAGUUAAUACCUUGCUG